UCCCUGGAAGACUAAUGGUUAGGCCUCGGCACUCUCACCGCCAUUGCCUGGGUUCGACUCCCAGCCAGAUAA